ensembl:lncRNA
GUGAGUUCUCACUCAUUUUGUUCAGAUUUUCCAAGGAAUGCAUAUGAGGGAGUCAUCAUCGAUCCGAGCACGUUCUGCCAACCUGGACAAACUAACCAGGCAGGCUGGGGGGCUCCGCAGCGGGCGAGCCGAUCGCCUCAUGGGCGCCAGCGGCCUGGAGAAUCCAGAGCCGAGCCCCGCCGGAGCAGGGGCAACAGUCAGUCCGCCCUCAGAGCACGACGCCGCGGGCCCCCGGGCACACGCGCCCAAGAAGCCUCUGAGGCAGGUCUAGCGAAGCCCUCAGGGCGAGAGGCCGAACUUGGGACAAAGCAAUGCUGACCGUCCUGGGCCGUCCGAGGGCGUGGUGCGCAUCCCGGGCCACACUUCCGCCGCGACUGCCUCGCACCUGCGCUCGUCACGGGACACGAAGGGUCUUCUCUUCUUGGGCGACGGCAAGCUUUGCUCGGAGAUCCCACCUGGGAAGUGCAGAGCAAUCGCACGCGCACGCCUCAGCGACCCAGCCAGGCUCUCAGGUGUGACAAGAAGGCGUGUGUGACAGCACAAGCGCAGGAAGGCGCGCAGGCGGGCGCGUGUGCGUGUCUUCGGGUGCGCGGGGCCCGAGACCCUGAAGAAGCACGUCUUCCGCACACAUCACUGGCCUCAGGCCCUGCCGCGAGACCAGGAGCUCGCGCUGGCGGCUUUGACCUCGACUCGCCCGGCGGCUCACCUCUGCCCUUUCGGCCUGCUGAAAUAGGCCACAGGCUCCCUCUCUCACAGCCCCUGCCUCUGAACACCGGAACACGACACUCCAGCAGGUUCACCCUCCGCCCGACCGUGGGCGCCCGCUGUCCCCGCACGCCGUGCCACGCGAACCGCGCCCGACGGAAACGCGCCGACCACUGCUGGACCUGAACCACGUAAAGCGCCUACACCACUCGAAGGCUGGCGCCGCUGGGACACGGGCUAGAGGGCAGAAGCAGCAGCCCCUCCUGAUCUCCAGUGGCCACGCCACCGGGGGACCGGGGGCCAGGCGCCUCUUCCUGCUGACUGAGGCUACACCCACGCCCUCAGCGGUGCCAGCGGCAGGGGAAGUGCCAGGAAGAGGUGGUCUGUGGCCACCACGACCCACGCUAAGACCCGACUGAACCUGGAGCCCACUCCCGUCCAGGGACCUGGCGUUACCACAGCGGGCCCGCUUUCUGGACCCCGGCCUUCCAGGACUCCUUCCCACCCACGCGCUGCCUGGCCCACCUCAGGCCUGCGAGGCAAGUCCCCCAAGCAGGACCUCAAACCCUACACACACGUGGCGGCCAGGGAGCCCCGGGGAGGACGGCCACGAGGGAAUCUCGACUGUGCGUACGGGACUCGACCCGUCACGUUCAACGUCUGGACCCUCCCUCGGCACCUGUAACACCACAAACGACCUCACACGGCCCCAAGGAUGGCUCUGUCCACGAAGGCAAGAGGAGGCACGGAACGAGCACACACACACCCCGCCCCCGCCACCCUUGGAGAGGCGGACGUUUUCCAAGGCGGACGUCUGUGCGCGGCAGGGCAGCUCGGGUCACGGCACCCGCCGUCUCCGCCAGGCCCACAGGCUUCCACGAAGAAACCUAAAGCCCUGCGACGAGGCAUGAGGCGAACCGCGCCAGGAAAAUCGGACCGUGCUGGAGGAACGCUUUCUCCUCGGAGACCCCGCGCCUGAGACGGGGGAGGAUCCAAGGCCACGGUCGCCCAAGCAAUCGAUGAGCAGCGGCGGCCGGCCGCCCGGCAGUCACGUGCCGGGCCCCUCUUCAAGGAACCGUGGAGAGAACCGCAGAGCGCCACCGCUCUGGAACAAGGCCCGCCAUCUGCCACAAAGGUCACCGACCACAGUGCACACCCCCGGGCCUUCAAGCCUCCAGCCUUCCCCGGCACGCACCAAUCGCCAGCCCCGUCAGAGCCAGGGCACGUUCCCGACAAGCCGCUGCCAGCGCUCGGAACACAACGAGGCAGCACGUCCCACGGAAGCCCACGGCAUCACACUGUGACCUGUCCUCUCCGUGCUCUUCUUCCCCCCCAGCUCCCCACGACCAGGCCAUCAGCCACCACAGUGUCCUGACCUGAGUGCCAGGCCCACAGCCCGGUCCCCGUUUGGGCACCUUGGCGUGGACUGGGCGAGCCGGAGAACUAGAGGAGCCCCAAGCUGCAGCACGUCCCACGGAAGCCCACGGCAUCACACUGUGACCUGUCCUCUCCGUGCUCUUCUUCCCC